AUUGAACGCUGGCGGCAGGCCUAACACAUGCAAGUCGAGCGGAUGAAGGGAGCUUGCUCCUGGAUUCAGCGGCGGACGGGUGAGUAAUGCCUAGGAAUCUGCCUGGUAGUGGGGGAUAACGUCCGGAAACGGGCGCUAAUACCGCAUACGUCCUGAGGGAGAAAGUGGGGGGUCUUCGGACCUCACGCUAUCAGAUGAGCCUAGGUCGGAUUAGCUAGUUGGUGGGGUAAAGGCCUACCAAGGCGACGAUCCGUAACUGGUCUGAGAGGAUGAUCAGUCACACUGGAACUGAGACACGGCCCACACUCCUACGGGAGGAAGCAGUGGGGAAUAUUGGACAAUGGGCGAGAGCCUGAUCUAGCCAUGCCGCGUGUGUGAAGAAGGUCUUCGGAUUGUAAAACACUUUAAGUUGGGAGGAAGGGCAGUAAGUUAAUACCUUGCUGUUUUGACGUUACCAACAGAAUAAGCCCCGGCUAACUUCGUG
rnacentral:rRNA from 1 species